rnacentral:misc_RNA from 1 species
UUUCCGUAGGUGAACCUGCGGAAGGAUCAUUAAUGAGUUGUCAUGGGGUUCGAUGCUGGCAGCCAGUUUUUGGAUGCAUGUGCUUGCCCUAACAAUCAUCUUCUUCCAAACACCUGUGCACAUUUUUGAGGGAGUCUUGAGUUGGUUGCCGCUCUUGGGUGAUUUUCUCACAUUCCCUUAAAUCAUUAUACGCUAUUAACAAUGUUGUACGUGCUCUGUGCCGCAAGGCCAUUAAUAUAAUACAACUUUUAACAACGGAUCUCUUGGCUCUC